rnacentral:lncRNA from 1 species
UUCCCAGGCUAGGGGUCACAUUGAGCUGUAGCUGCUGGCUACAGCCACAGCCGUGGCAACACCAGAUACGAGCCCUGUCUGAGACCUACACCACAGCUCAUGGCAACGCCGGAUCCUUAACCCACUGAGAGAGGCCACAGGUCAAACCUGCCUCUUCAUGGAUGCUAGUCAGAUUCAUUUCCGCUGAGCCACAAUGGGAACUCCCACCUUUAACAUCUUAUUUGGGAGUUCCAGUCUUGGCCCAGUGGAAACAAAUCUGACUAGCAUCCAGGAGGAUGAGGUUCAAUCCCUGGCCUUCAUCAGUGGGUUAAGGAUCUGGUGUUGCUGUGAGCUGUGGUGUAGGUUGCAGACAAGGCUUGGAUGUUGCAUUGCCAUGGAUAUGGCAUAGGCUGGCAGCUAUAGCUCUGAUUCAAUCCCUAGCCUGGGAACCUCCAUAUGCCACAGGCGUGGCCCUAAAAAAGCAAAAAAUAAAUAAAAAUGGAUUCCAGAUAUAAGUGACAUCAUAUGGUAUUUGUCUUUUUUUUUUUUCUGGCUUUUUGCCUUUUCUAAUUGAAGCUAUAGCCUCCGGCCUACGCCAGAGCCACAGCAACGUGGGAUCCAAGCAGCAUCUACCAUCUACACCACAGCUCAUAGAAAUGCCGUAUCCUUUACCCACUAAGUGAGGUCAGGGAUCAAAUCCAAAACCUCAUGGUUCCUAGUCAGAUUCAUUAACCACUGAGCCACAACGGGAACUCCUGUCUUUUCUCUUUCUGACUUCACUUAGUAGGAGAGUCUAGUUCCAUCCACAUUGCUGCAAAUGGCAUUAUUUUCUUUUUUACGGCUGAGUAGUAUUCCAUUUUGUAUGUAUACCACAUAUUCUUAAUCCAUUCAUCUGCUGAUGGAUAUUUAGGUUGUUUCCAUUUCUUGGCUAUUGUGAAUAGUGCUGCAGUGAACAUGUGGGUGUGUGUGUCUUUUUCAAGGAAAGUUUUGUCUGGAUAUAUGCCUAGGAGUAGGAUUGCUGGGUUAUAUGGUAGUUCAUAUUUAAUUUUUGGCGGUACCUCCAUACUGUUUUCCAUAGUGGUUGUACCAAUUUACAUUCCGACUAACAUUGCAGGAGGGUACUCCUUUUUGUGUUUUUGUUUUUUGGUUUUUUUGGGUUUUUUUUUCAGUCUUUAAACCAUUUUAAGUUUAUUUUGUGCUUGGCAUGAGGACGUGUUCCAGUUUCAUUGAUUUACAUUUACAUGUGGCUGUCCAGUUUUCCCAGUACCACCUGCUGAAAAGACUGUAUUUUUUCCAUUUUAUAUUCUUGCCUCCUUUGUUGAAAAUCAAUUGACCAUAGUUGUCUGGGUUUAUUUCUGGGUUCUCUCUUCUGUUCCAUUGGUCCAUAUGUCUGUUUUGGUACCAGUACCAUACUGUCUUGAUCACUGUAGCUUUGUAAUAUUGCCUGAAAUCUGGGAGAGUUAUGCCUCCUGCUUGUUUUGUUGUUGUUGUUUUGUUGUUGUUUGUUUUUGGUUUUUUGGGGUUUUUUUUUACUUUUUAGGGCUGCAGUUGUGGCAUAUGGAAGUUCCCAGGCUAGGGGUUGAAUCGGAGCUACAGCUGCCAGCCUACCCCACAGCACAGCAAUGUGGGAUCUGAGCUGUGUCUGCAAACUAUACCACAGCUCAUGGCAAUGCUAGAGCCUUAACCCAGUGAGCAAGGCCAGGGAUCACAUCCACAUCCUCAUGGAUCCUAAUUGGGAUCGUUAACUGCUGAACCACGAAGGGAACUCCCUCCUGCUUUGUUUUUGUUCCUCAGCAUUGCUUUGGUAAUUCUUGGUUUUUUAUAGUUCCAUAUAAAUUUUUGGAUUGUUUGUUCUAGUAAUGUGAAAAAUGUCAUGGGUGAUUUGAUGGGGAUUGCAUUGAAUCUGUAGAUUGCUUUGGGUACUAUGACCAUAAAUUUUUGGAUUGUUUGUUCUAGUAAUGUGAAAAAUGUCAUGGGUGAUUUGAUGGGGAUUGCAUUGAAUCUGUAGAUUGCUUUGGGUACUAUGGCCAUUUUUAUGGUAUUAAUUCUCCCAACCCAGGAGCAUGGAAUAUUUUUCCAUUUCUUUGAAUCCUCUUUAAUUUCCUUGAUUAAUGUAUUAUUGUUCUCAGCAUAUAAGUCUUUCACCUCCUUGGUCAGGUUUAUUUCCUAGGUAUUUAAUUUUUGGGGGUGUGAUUUUAAAAGGUAUUAUAUUUUUGUAUCCUUUUCUAAUAUUUCAUUGUUAGUAUAAAGAAAUGCAACUGAUUUCUGAAUAUUAAUCUUGUAUCCUGCUACUUUGCUGAAUUUGUUGAUCAGUUCAAGUAGUUUUUGGGUUGAGCUCUUAGGGUUUUCUAUAUAUAGUAUCAUAUCAUCCUCAUACGGUGGCAAUUUUACCACUUCUCCAAUUUGGAUAACUUUUAUUUCUUUUGUUUGUCUAAUUGCUGUGGCUAGGACUUCCAAUACUAUGUUGAAUAAAAGUGGUGAGAGUGGGCAUGCUUAUCUUGUUCCAGAUUUUAGCAGGAAAGCUUUCAGCAUUUCUCCAUUGAGUAUUAUGUUGGCCGUGGGUUUGUCAUAAAUGGCUUUUAUUAUGUUAAGGUAUGUUUCCUCUAUACCCACUUUGGUAAGAGGUUUUAUCAUGAAUGGAUAUUGGACUUUGCCAAAUGCUUUUUCUGCAUUUAUUGAGAUGAUCAUGUGGUUUUUGACUUUUCUUUUGUUAAUGUGGUGUAUGAUGUUGAUUGAUUUGUGUAUGUUGAAGCAUCCUUGUGAACUUGGGAUGAAUCCCACUUGGUCAUGGUGUAUCAUCUUUUUUAUAUGUUGUUGGAUUCAGUUGGCUAAAAUUUUGUUGAAAAUUUUUGUGUCUACAUUCAUCAAAGAUAUUGGCCUGGGAGUUCCCAUCGUGGCUCAACAGAACUGAAUCUGACUAGUAUCCAUGAGGACGCGGGUUUGAUCCCUGGCCUCACUCAGCGGGUUAAGGAUCUGGCAUUGUGAGCUGUGGUGUAGAUUGCAGACACGGCUCAGAUCUGGCAUUGCUGUGGCUGUGGCUGUUGCCAGCAGCUACAGCUCCAAUGUGACCCCUGGCCUGGGAACCUCCAUAUGCCUUGUGUGCAGCCCUGAAAG